UAGAGUUUUAUCCUGGCUCAGAGCGAACGCUGGCGGCAUGCUUAACACAUGCAAGUCGCACGGUCAGCAAUGGCAGUGGCGGACGGGUGAGUAACGCGUAGGAAUCUAUCCUGUGGUGGGGGAUAACAGCGGGAAACUGCUGCUAAUACCGCAUGACACCUGAGGGUCAAAGGCUUUGGCCGCCUUGGGAGGAGCCUGCGUCUGAUUAGCUAGUUGGUGGGGUAAAGGCUUACCAAGGCGACGAUCAGUAGCUGGUCUGAGAGGAUGAUCAGCCACAUUGGGACUGAGACACGGCCCAAACUCCUACGGGAGGCAGCAUGGGGAAUAUUGGACAAUGGGCGCAAGCCUGAUCCAGCAAUGCCGCGUGUGUGAAGAAGGUCUUCGGAUUGUAAAGCACUUUUGGCAGGGACGAUGAUGACGGUACUGCAGAAUAAGCCCC
rnacentral:rRNA from 1 species